GGAGAGAAAUCUUGGAGGAGAGUGGCGAAAGGGUGAGUAACGCGUGGGUAAUUUACCUCUGAGUUGGGGAUAACGUUUCGAAAGGAACGCUAAUACCGGAUGUGGUCGUCUCGCAUAAGCGGGAAUGAUCAAAGGUGGGGAUCCUUCGGGACCUGUCGCUCGGAGAGGAGCCCGCGUGCCAUCAGCUUGCUGGUAGGGUAACGGCCUACCAAGGCUUACGGCUAGCUGGUCUGAGAGGAUGAUCAGCCACACUGGGACUGAGACACUGCCCAGACUCCUACGGGAGGCUGCAGUCGAGGAUCAUUCGCAAUGCGCGAAAGCGUGACGAUGCGACGCUGCGUGGAGGAUGAAGGCCCUAGGGUUGUAAACUCCUGUCAUUCGGGAAAAACGAGCACAUGGUGAAUAGUCAUGUGCAGUGAUGGUACCGGAAGAGGAAGCCACGGCUAACUCUGUGCCAGCAGCCGCGGUAAUACAGAGGUGGCGAGCGUUGUUCGGAUUUACUGGGCGUAAAGGGUGCGUAGGUGGUUGCGUGUGUCGGAUGUGAAAGCCCACGGCUCAACCGUGGAAUGGCAUUCGAAACUGCGUAACUUGAGUACAGGAGGGGAGAGCGGAAUUCUUGGUGUAGCGGUGAAAUGCGUUGAUAUCAAGAAGAACACCGGUGGCGAAGGCGGCUCUCUGGAAUGUUACUGACACUGAGGCACGAAAGUUGGGGGAGCAAACAGGAUUAGAUACCCUGGUAGUCCCAACCGUAAACGGUGUGCACUUGGUGUGGGGGGAAUUGACCCCCCCCGUGCCGGAGCUAACGCGUUAGGUGCACCCCUGGGGAGUACGGCCGCAAGGCUAAAACUCAAAGAAAUUGACGGGGGCCCGCACAAGCGGAGGAGCAUGUGGCUUAAUUCGAUGCAACGCGAAGAACCUUACCAGGGCUUGACAUCUACCUGCAUGCCCCGUGAAAGCGGGGAGGCCUUCGAGGGUGGUAGACAGGUGCUGCAUGGCUGUCGUCAGUUCGUGCCGUGAGGUGUUGGGUUAAGUCCCGCAACGAACGCAACCCCUGUGUUUAGUUGCCACUCUCUUCGGAGAAGCACUCUAAACAGACUGCCUGUACAAGCAGGAGGAAGGUGGGGACGACGUCAAGUCAGUAUGGCCCUUACGCCCUGGGCUGCACACGUGCUACAAUGGUCGGUACAGAGGGAUGCAAGACCGCGAGGUGGAGCUAAUCCUGAAAGCCGGUCCCAGUUCGGAUUGGAGUCUGCAACUCGACUCCAUGAAGUUGGAUUCGCUAGUAACGGCGUAUCAGCUACGACGCCGUGAAUACGUUCCCGGGCCUUGUACACACCGCCCGUCACAUCAUGAAAGCCGUCUGCACCCGAAGUCGCUGAGCCAACCAUUUAUUUGGAGGCAGGUGCC
rnacentral:rRNA from 1 species